GGGAGCUUAGCUCAGCUGGGAGAGCAUCGCCCUUACAAGGCGAGGGUCGGGGGUUAGAAACCCUAAGCCCCCA
rnacentral:tRNA from 1 species